AAUGAGUUGUUUAAGUCUUCUAAACUUAUAUUAGGUGUUCCUGCUCGUUG
rnacentral:tRNA from 1 species